GGCAUCCCUCCAGGACCAGCUCUCCAGGAGGCCCACAUUCUUUCUGCGGGAACCACUCCAAAGGGGCAUGCUGUUCCAGGCAGCCCCUCGCGCAGACACUCCGGCUUUGUCGAGGGCCCACAACGCGUCCCCGGUGAUGUUCAUGCCCACCUCCCAGUAGUGCCUCCCAGAGGAGAAGGCCGUCUGGCCCACAGCACAGGGGAGAUGAUUAGGACAGAGACGUGCAUAGAGAGAUGAUGCCAUGAGGACGCGGGGAGGAGACGGCAUCUUCAGGCCUAGGAGAGAGGCUCAGGAGGAACCAGGCCUGCCCGCACCUUGGCCUCAGCCACCCAGCCUCCAGGACUAGCAGACUGGGAGCUAACAGCCCUUUCCCGUUGGCUGCCUCUU
rnacentral:lncRNA from 1 species